CCCAGUAUGGGUGCUGACUCAUGGAGGCUGCAUCACUAUAGUUACACAUCCAGGCAGCCUUCUGUCUCCUGUACACCCUAGCACAUACACCAGACUGCGGGAACCUGUGGGGUGGGUAGGAGGGGGUAGAUAGCCGGAUCUCAGGCGAGAGUCUGAUGACCUCCUCGCCACUCAUCCUUCUAUGAGGAAAUAGUAAUAGUCCUGAUUCUAUGAGGGUGACCACAGUUGCUCUGACUCAAGGUGGUAGAGGGUCAUGUCAUGCCCGGCGGAGUUCUGCUCCAGAUAUUUAUAUUCAAGGCUCGUAGCAGCUUUGUGAUGAAGAACCAACAGUAGGAAACAGCUCUCCAGUGAGUGCGCAGUUAAGCUGUAACCAGGCUAUACCACAGAACACUGCUCAGCCAUAAACCAGAUGGAGCGGCAAUACACGCAACCGGGAUCCAUCAAGGCACUUCCCCUGUCAAAAUCUUUGGCAUCUGCUUCAUGGAGGAGGUAGAAGAAGACAGAAAGUUCCUUGUUGUGGAAUAUCACAGUAACUAGGCAAAGACGUGUUACAUUUGUUUAUGCUGCGGAAUAUUACUUUAACUGUGUAAAGGCUCCCUGCUGUGAUGGUAUACUUCACCUCACCUGGACCCAGAAGCAGUGGAGCCCCCGAGGAACACGGAGAACAUUUCCUUCCCUGGGGAUCAGAAGAACCUGAAGAACCUGAAACCACCCUCAGCUUUCUGGCUCUCUCAGACCUGUGAGGUCAAAGGAAUGGGAUUGGCAGGCAGUGAAUGUACCCAUGAGGUCACAGGAGCAAGGGAUCCCUGUGAAGUGGAAGGUGGCAGUCACUGUGGGACAUGCUUGUGGUGGGGGACUGGGCUUUCCUGUCAGCCUGGAAGGAGAUGUUGAUCUUUCCCGGCUCUCUUCUCAAGAAGCCCAGCUUCUAGCUUAGCCACGGUGGCACACGCCUUUAAUCCCACCACUUGAGAGGCAGAGGCAAGUGGAUCUCUGAGUUCAAGGCCAGCCUGGUCUACAGAGAGAGAUCCAGGACAGCCAGGGCUACACAGAGAAUCUCUCUCUCAAAAAACAAAACAGCCGGGCAGUGGUGGCGCACGCCUUUAAUCCCAGCACUCGGGAGGCAGAGCCAGGUGGAUCUCUGUGAGUUCGAGGCCAGCCUGGUCUACAGAGCGAGAUCCAGGAA